rnacentral:rRNA from 1 species
UACAGAGGGGGCAAGCGUUAUUCGGAAUUAUUGGGCGUAAAGGGCGCGUAGGCGGCGAUUCAAGUGACGGGUGAAAUCCCUCGGCUUAACCGAGGAACUGCCUGUCAGACUGGAUUGCUUGAGGCCGGGAGAGGCGAGUGGAAUUCCCAGUGUAGCGGUGAAAUGCGUAGAUAUUGGGAGGAACACCAGUGGCGAAGGCGGCUCGCUGGACCGGUUCUGACGCUGAGGCGCGAAAGCUAGGGGAGCAAACGGG